CUCUUUGCCUGCUGCAAUCCAUGUAAGAUGUGACUUGUUCCUCCUUGCCUUCUGCCAUGAUUGUGAGGCCUCCACAGCCAUGCGGAACUGUUGAAAUACACACUACCUGAAGCUGGAUAACUCAUGAACUCUGUUGACAAUUAUAUUCUUUGUCUUUUUAAUUAACUCAUUUGGAGUUGGUGUCCUGAGGACCUAAGCCUAAGAAUCUUCAAGAUGGAAGAGUAGAGUGAACAAUGAAUGAGCCAGAGGGCUCUUGUCCUCUGUGUGCAGCUCUGGGCAGCCAGCAGGUGGAUAUGGGACUUGGCCUGCUGGAGGGGCCCUGGCAAGAGGAGCUGGCAGGAGCAGAUGGCAAAGAUGCACAUGAAAUUUGGUGCCGUGACUCGGAUUGGGGGACCUCCCUUGGGAGAUCAAUCCCCUGUACUCCUGUUCUUUGCUCCGUGAGAAAGAUCCACCUAUGACCCUCAGGUCCUCAGACCGACUAGCCCAAGGAACAUCUCACCAAUUUUAAAUCAGGUGGAGUCUCGCACUGUCAUCCUGGCUGGAAUGCAGUGGUGCAAGCCGACUCACUGCAACCUCUGCCUCUUGGGUUCAAGUGAUUCUCCUGCUUCAGCCUCCUGAUUUGCUGGGAUUGCAGACUUUGGGAAUCACCCAACUGAUGGAAAGAACCAGGAAAGGGGUCAGGAUCUGCACCUUGGCAAACUUUGAAGAACACCCAAUUUGAUGAAUGAAAACUCCUCACUUGUGCUCUGGUGGUGUUUUAGGACAAUGGGCCCCUCCUGGGUAAUAGUUAUUGAUGCAGUCUCUAUCAGUAACCACCCCAAGUUUGAGAUCCUUUACAAGGGAAGGUCAUAUUUCCAAAACUGAAACCUUGACCAAGUAUCCCAGAGAGAUAGGAAGGAGAUACCACUCAAGUGUGUCAUGGGCCUGUCCCAGGGCCUGGGAGUCAGCAGUUGGUGGCCUGGGAUCCAAGGGUUAACAGCAUGACCUGUUCUGGCUGGCACCAGUCACAUGGUGUGCCCAACCUCACUGUUAUUAUCUGUUUCGGGUGAGUCACUGAGAACACAGACAGGAAAGACCCAUGAACUUAGCUAGUUUCGCCCCAGGGUGUGAGACUCCACACAACUGAGUCUGGGCCACUGGCAGUGACUCAUGGCGGGCCUCAUGGGAUUGCUGACGCAAGGUUGGAAGGGCACGUGGUUCUUCCCCCCACCGCUGGGUAGAAUCCCCGCCAAAACAUCCAGGCUGGAAAUCCAUCUUGGUCCUUGGGGAGAGAGAAAAUAAAAAAGAAUCAUUUCUGAUACUAUA
ensembl:lncRNA LINC01705 long intergenic non-protein coding RNA 1705